UACGUAGGGGGCGAGCGUUGUCCGGAUUUAUUGGGCGUAAAACGCUUGUAGGUGGCUACGUCAAGUCGGACGUGAAAUCUCCCGGCUUAACUGGGAGGGGUCGCUCGAUACUGGCGAGCUCGAGGCAGGUAGGGGGAAGCGGAAUUCCCGGUGUAGUGGUGGAAUGCGUAGAUAUCGGGAGGAACACCAGUGGCGAAGGCGGCUUCCUGGACCUGUUCUGACACUGAGGAGCGAAAGCGUGGGGAGCGAACAGG
rnacentral:rRNA from 1 species